GUGUGUACAGAGCCAACAAAUUUCAUUUAACAAAAUGGUUGAAAUAAUGUGUUUUCUUUUCUUCAGUCUUCAUGUCUCCUUGUUGGCCAUCAGGAAAUCAGGAACUUGAGAUGAUCACCCAAGUAGCUGAGGCCCAGGGUUGCUGCAGUCCUUAUCUUCUGCUGAGACAUCUGUCUUCAUUACCUCUUCGUCUAGUUUAAUUCCAGCUCCAAGUUGAAAGAAAAAGGAAACAGAAGAGUUAUAAAGGUACUCAGCCUGAAAAUUACAAAUGGAAAAGCACCGCAAAUCAGCCAUGGCCUGAAGGAAAUCAAAUGUUGUUGAGAUUCUGUGAGUCUGGAGGUACCGUCUG
rnacentral:lncRNA from 1 species